rnacentral:misc_RNA from 1 species
UAGAGGUUCUAGUUUUUUUUUUUUCUCCCCUGCUAUAGACGCAUAUUGUCUCUGGAUGGCUGAAUACAUAUAGAAAAUGAACUUGUUUAGUUUUGUUUUGGCUAUAAAUUUUUGCAUAGCAAUUUCAAGUAACUGGAUUAUGGUGUUUAUUUUAUGCAAAAACAAGAUUUCACCCUGAGAUUAGGUUUAAGAAUUUGCUUGGGCAAAAUGUUUAACUAGAAUAAAUUUGCAGUGGAAGUUUUGAGGUGGCCAUGAGUUGAUUAAUCCCAGUAGGCUUUAGUUUUGCAUAAAAAAUUAUUCAAUUAAGUGCAGAAACCAAUCAAGUGUUAUUUAUUUAUUUCUUGACUUGGCAAUGGCAUGCUAUAGAUUUUAUGCUCAUAAAUUUUCAUUGUUAUUCUGCACUUAAUUAAACAGUGCAUAAUUUUUUUUGAAAAAAAUUUCUUAUGUCAAUAUGAUGUUUGUAGAAAAGAGUUGCAGAAUUGGUAAUGAUGUUAGCAGUUGAUUUUAUUCGGAAUUGCGUUGUUUCCUGGCAGGCUGUGCAGUAAAGCCCCUCUUCGCACAUCAUAGGUAUUAUUGGUUAUUUGAAUAGCAAUAUUCUUUUGGCCCCGGAAAAUUUUGAC